UACGAGGGGGGCGAGCGUUGUUCGGAAUUAUUGGGCGUAAAGAGCGUGUAGGCGGUCAGGUAGGUCCGUUGUGAAAACUCGAGGCUCAACCUCGAGACGCCGAUGGAAACCAUCUGACUAGAGUCCGGAAGAGGAGAGUGGAAUUCCUGGUGUAGCGGUGAAAUGCGCAGAUAUCAGGAAGAACACCCGUGGCUAAGGCGGCUCUCUAGUACGGUACUGACGCUGAGACGCGAAAGCGUGGGGAGCGAACAGG
rnacentral:rRNA from 1 species